rnacentral:misc_RNA from 1 species
CUGUGUGCCUGACUUCGUUAGUCAUUGCUGGCAUCAAUGGGACGUUGACUCUUGGAGUCACUCCAAUGCGGCCCUAUCGAUCUAUUCGCGAGACUAGUAUAUAAGAGACUACAGGACCAAAUACUCACCGGCGUAUAUGGGAAUCCGGAACCGAAAACGAUGAAGGCAGACAUCUACAGAAGAAACUAUCUAGGAAGCAGCGCCUCCUCGCGGAUGACAGACGACGACUCAUUCAGACCAUGCCACUUCAAGCUGUGCCCUUUAGGAGGAACCGGACGCCGAGGAAGGAAAUAGACGCCGAAGGCGUCCUCUAUAGAGAUUUAAUCAAUUGGGGGCGCUUGAUUUGGCGGUAAUUAAAAUAAAGACUCGUUCUGAUGCGCGCGCGUACUAGGCGGCAAGGUCUUCUAGUCACGUGUCACGCGCAUGUCAACAAUCCGCCCCUUCUGCUCAUCACUGCUGACGUCACUACAAUACCACGCCCACAGCACUCGCGGUGAUGAUGCGCUGCACGAGUCCGUACACGCAACUAUCUUGACACAAUCUAAUUAAUUCGUAACGAAGAAUAGGGAAUUAAUGAGGAAAAUUUUUGCAUAUAUUUUGACUAAGCUUAUAGUGUCGGAUACGCAAGUGACGCAUAGAACUGUUGAAUUCAAUCACUAUCUGAAGACAGACACUGAAUAAUAAACGGUUAACCUUCUAUGAAUCGGAAUGUAAGACUUGUCCUACCUAACAUAUCCGAUAUUUAUAUAAAAAUGAUGACAUCUCACUAUCUAAGACUAUAUGUCAUAGUGCUGUACUAUCGUACUAUUACAUGCAAACACGCAGCAACAGACGCAAACAUGACGCAUGCAGCUACGCAGGCAAACAAAAACGAGCAACAAACAAACGAGGAAUGUAAAACGUGUUAUUAUAGCGUUACGAAAUGUCAAUUAAUAUUCUUUAUUGGGUAAAUCCAAGAACGUCUAAAUUUGUUAUACUGUACUAGUAUUACACAUAUCACAAUAUUGCAGUGUUCUGUCUAAUGUGUAAAUAUCUAGACGAAAUCAACAACUAUAUAAUGAGAAAUUGAUGAGCAAUCGCACAAGAUGUACCUACUUAUUGACUAUGUAUCCGAAAUAAAUAGAAUAUAUUCUAUAAUAUA